rnacentral:lncRNA from 7 species
AGGAUCAAUACAUACUUCAAGGAGCUUUACUUGGGUGUACUUUUUUAAGCUAAGUAAACAGAUGAGAUCUGAGGCCAGAAUAGUCAGAGAUACAGCUAAAGAGAUUUAAAUAUGCUUUACUUUCAGCUGGAGUUUUUAGAUGGGGCUCAAACUUGAGCAGGCUCUGAGGGAUGCAGGCCACUCCAGCUGUAUCCCAAUGUUUGCAUUUCCAGUUCAUUACUGCAUAGAAUACUACUGACUUUCUCUUGUUCAAGCAAUGUAAUGUAAGGGAAGUCUGGGCUGUUAACUGUCAAGAACUGUAAGAUCUUGGACAUAUUAAUUACAGUGUAUCUGAAAUAAGGGCAUUUGAUGUAACUAAUGUGAAACUGAUGCUUUUAGGAACAGGUGGUAUUUUGAAGGAAUCCAAAACAAUAUUGCCAAUGGUGAGAAACCAUUUCUGACAAGUCAGAAGACACACCUGCAACGUUCCGGGCUGAAGCAGAAAGAACAACCUCUAGAAAUACAAGAUGGGAAAGCUCCGAGAACGUUCCACAGCACAGAAAGAAGAUUCCCUGAAGAAGCAGCAACUGUUUUUGAGAUAUCAGUCCACUCGGAUUAGAUCUUUUUGCAUGGAUCUGAAAGCUAAUGAAUCUUUGAGGAAGCUUCAGUCAGCAUUAUCCCUCUGUAUUGCAAACGACGUAUUGGAUCUUCAAGCUGUUGUGGGUGGGUGAACAGCUCUUCUGCGCUGUUGAUGAAAGGGAUCUGCAACAAAUACCCUCAAAAGAAAUGCCUGCCCAAAACAACAUGAAAGUUCAACAUUACAAGAUUAGAAAUAAAGUGAAAGAAGAGAAGCCUUUGAUUUUCAAAGCAGCAACGAUCUCUGUGUCAUAACAUAAAAGAGUUUGUUCAAUUUCCUUUGGAUUCUAAGCACCGAGGAGAAACAUGACAGACUUAACUCAUGUUGUAGAUGCCUGCUGUUUGGAGGUGCACACACUGGCAGCUGUUUUUGAGGAGGUAGAACUGAACAAAAGAGUUCGUUAAGAGGGGACCUUCAAAGAUCACCAAGUUCAACUGCUGAACCACUUCAGGGCUAAGCAAAAGUUACAAUAAUUGCCUAUUUUUACAGGCAGCCCGUGCAGUGUUUAAUGCACGCUGAGCUGCAGUUUGCCCUGUUGGCUGCCCAGUGCUCCAAUCUAUCCUAGAUCCCUCUGCUUGGCCUCUCAUCCCUCUAGGCAGUCACCAGCACCUCCCAGUUUCAUGUUGUCGACAAAGGUGCUGAGGCUGUAUUCCAAUCCUGCAUCAGGAUUGGUCACUGUCACAUGUCACUGAGAAAAAGGUUGAACAGAACCAAGGCCGUGGAGCUGCUGUGUGAAGCAUCCUUGUGUCUUGGAGGAGAACUGAGGUGGGACAAUAGCUAGUUAAGUUCUUGCGCAAGUUCUCCUGUGGGAGUGGUACUUAUGUGUGGUGGUGGCAUGUGGGCCUUGCUCUUCGUAUUAUGUGAGGAAGGUAUCUUGUAUCUGUUAAUUAGGACUGCAGAGCUGAGGACACUCCUCAGGCUAUUUCUGCGUGCAUUCGAUUGUGUAUUUAUGCACCAGCUCUCUAAAGGAAAGCUGCUACCACUUACAAAGAGAUUUCUUGAGAACUUAAGGAUAAUGAAUGUUUUACCUGAUGUCAAAAUGACCUUUUGACAUCAUCUUUUAUAUCAUCUCAGCUACAGUUUGUUUAUGGUACAAGCCUUGUUUUGAUUUCAGCAGCAUAUCUGAAGCAGCACAGUAAUUGUAGGAUGGAUCAUGUGAGCCAUGUUCACAUUUUCUGAAGCACUUUAUGAAGCACAAAAAACACCUGAGUGUUCUUGGAUUCCUAGUAAUAACUUUACUUGAAAACUGUUCAAUAUUGUUAUAAUAAACAAGUACAU